rnacentral:rRNA from 1 species
UACGUAGGGUGCAAGCGUUGUCCGGAAUUACUGGGCGUAAAGCGCGUGUAGGCGGCUUUGCAAGUCGGGCGUGAAAUCCCACGGCUCAACCGUGGAAGUGCACUCGAAACUGCAGAGCUAGAGUCCUGGAGAGGAAGGUGGAAUGCUUGGUGUAGAGGUGAAAUUCGUAGAUAUCAAGCGGAACACCGGUGGCGAAGGCGGCCUUCUGGACAGUGACUGACGCUGAGACGCGAAAGCGUGGGGAGCAAACAGG